rnacentral:rRNA from 1 species
GAUGAACGCUGGCGGCGUGCUUAACACAUGCAAGUCGAACAAAGCAUUUAGAACAGAUUAUUUCGGUAUGAAGUUCUUUAUGACUGAGUGGCGGACGGGUGAGUAACGCGUGGGUAACCUGCCCCAGACCGGGGGAUAACAGUCGGAAACGACUGCUAAUACCGCAUAAGCGCACAGUGCCGCAUGGCACGGUGUGAAAAACUCCGGUGGUCUGGGAUGGACCCGCGUCCGAUUAGUUAGUUGGCGGGGUAACGGCCCACCAAGACCGCGAUCGGUAGCCGACCUGAGAGGGUGACCGGCCACAUUGGGACUGAGACACGGCCCAGACUCCUACGGGAGGCAGCAGUGGGGAAUAUUGCACAAUGGAGGAAACUCUGAUGCAGCGACGCCGCGUGAGCGAAGAAGUAUUUCGGUAUGUAAAGCUCUGUCAGCAGGGAAGAUAAUGACGGUACCUGACCAAGAAGCCCCGGCUAACUACGUG